rnacentral:lncRNA from 10 species
CAGUACAAUAGAACAUAGAACACCAGUAGACUUCUAAGGUUUCAGACUUCAGUCCCUGGCUGUCUAAUGGAGGGCAACCCUGGACCUGCCCAGGGCCUGGAGGAACUCACCAAGUGGAAGGGAAAUAUCUGAAAAAGAAAGAAGAAAAAAACAUUUAUGAUCGCAUCAAAAAUACGAAAAACAAGGAGUUGCAAGAUCUGUACAAUACACCUGAAGUUGGAAGUCAUCAGUCUACAGCACUGCAGAGCUGAGUAGAGGAGACUAAUUAUUUUACCUCCUCUUGGGCCAUGUUGGACUCUUAUCUAGGAAUGCUGUUGAAAAGUGAAUGGGAAUUGAAUAAGAUGAAGAUAAUGUAUGUAUGAUUCCUUCGAUAAUCAGCUUCUGAUGAAAAUGGAAGAGAAGGCAAUGGCAGAACUGCUAUUCCUUACAUGCAUAAGCUAAACCAUAAAGGAGAUACAAUCAAUACAAAUAUGAAAGCAAGAUUUGUAUGAUCAAGUGGAAUUAAGAUGGCAGCUAAAGAUGGUAAAGUUAUGUUUCACAUAGCAUCUUCCUCCAAGAACUCAUAACUUGAACAACUAAUCUUUGAUGGAGAGUGAGAACCAAAAAAGCACACCAGAAGCAAUCAACAAAAAAGGCAAUCACCUGCAUAGGCAGAAAUAUCCAAGUGUUCCCAAGAUUUAGAUUUUGCAAACACAUGUGGCACUUAGCUAAACCCUGAAGAGGAGUGCUAAAAAGAGGCAAAGGGAGAAAAGAGUGAGUGAGGGCAAGUGGAAGUGAUGAAAGUGCUCACAAGUAAAAGACAAGCUCCAACUUAGAAAGAAAAUUAAGAGUGGAUACCAACGAGUAAUGAUAUCACACUCUGUGGUGUAGAGAAAAACUUUCCUUUCUAGUGAAAUUCCCCUCAAUAAAAAUCUAUAUAAC